rnacentral:rRNA from 1 species
UACGGGGGGAGCAAGCGUUGUUCGGAUUUACUGGGCGUAAAGGGCGCGUAGGCGGUCGUGACAAGUCACUUGUGAAAUCUCCGGGCUUAACUCGGAACGGUCAAGUGAUACUGUCGGACUAGAGUACAGAAGGGGCAACUGGAAUUCUCGGUGUAGCGGUGAAAUGCGUAGAUAUCAAGAGGAACACCAGAGGCGAAGGCGGCUCACUGGACCGGUUCUGACGCUGAGGCGCGAAAGCGUGGGGAGCAAACGGG